AUUGAACGCUGGCGGAACGCUUUACACAUGCAAGUCGAACGGUAGAGGGGGCAACCCCUCGAGAGUGGCGAACGGGUGAGUAAUAUAUCGGAACGUGCCCAGUCGUGGGGGAUAACGUAGCGAAAGUUACGCUAAUACCGCAUACGAUCUAAGGAUGAAAGCGGGGGAUCGCAAGACCUCGCGCGAUUGGAGCGGCCGAUAUCAGAUUAGGUAGUUGGUGGGGUAAAGGCUCACCAAGCCAACGAUCUGUAGCUGGUCUGAGAGGACGACCAGCCACACUGGAACUGAGACACGGUCCAGACUCCUACGGGAGGCAGCAGUGGGGAAUUUUGGACAAUGGACGCAAGUCUGAUCCAGCCAUUCCGCGUGCAGGAUGAAGGCCCUCGGGUUGUAAACUGCUUUUGUACGGAACGAAAAGGUCUCUCUUAAUACGGGGGGCACAUGACGGUACCGUAAGAAUAAGCACCGGCUAACUACGUGCCAGCAGCCGCCGUAA
rnacentral:rRNA from 1 species